AAAGUGACUUUCCAGGCAAGCUGCGCAUAUCUUGGGAUCUUCACAGCACAGUGGCUGGGAAGGCAGGCGGACCCGUCUAUCAGCUUCUCCCUGAAUAACUGGGAGCUGAAACAGGAAGCCCCAUGACACAGUUGAUCGAAAAUGACACAGACACAGAAAAAUCAGGACGUGCCCCCAGCAGCACCCCUACCUGCUGCCUGCUGAUCACGGCUGGGAGGCCCGUCCAGGGUUCCCACCCGGGAACGGACUCUUAGCUACUCAGUGCUCACGGGUGCUGGGCCUGCAGAGCUUUUCGGAUGCUCUCUUAUAGCUGGUUUGUUAUCUUUUAAUCAAUCAACUAAUUAAUCUAUUACUUUAUUUAUUGGCCCUCCCCCAUGUCUUGAUCCUUUCUUCAUUAAAAGCAAAAGGAAAGAAAA
ensembl:processed_transcript Gm14005 predicted gene 14005